rnacentral:tRNA from 1 species
GGGGCUGUGGGGUAGCUUGGUCUAUCCUUCGAGGUUUGGGACCUUGGGACCCCGGUUCGAAUCCGGGCAGCCCCA